rnacentral:rRNA from 1 species
UUAUCGGAGAGUUUGAUCCUGGCUCAGGACGAACGCUGGCGGCGUGCCUAAUACAUGCAAGUCGAGCGGACAGAUGGGAGCUUGCUCCCUGAUGUUAGCGGCGGACGGGUGAGUAACACGUGGGUAACCUGCCUGUAAGACUGGGAUAACUCCGGGAAACCGGGGCUAAUACCGGAUGGUUGUUUGAACCGCAUGGUUCAAACAUAAAAGGUGGCUUCGGCUACCACUUACAGAUGGACCCGCGGCGCAUUAGCUAGUUGGUGAGGUAACGGCUCACCAAGGCGACGAUGCGUAGCCGACCUGAGAGGGUGAUCGAGUACACUGGGACUGAGACACGACCAGACUCCUACGGGAGGCAGCAGUAGGGAAUCUUCCGCAAUGGACGAAAGUCUGACGGAGCAACGCCGCGUGAGUGAUGAAGGUUUUCGGAUCGUAAAGCUCUGUUGUUAGGGAAGAACAAGUACCGUUCGAAUAGGGCGGUACCUUGACGGUACCUAACCAGAAAGCCACGGCUAACUACGUGCCAGCAGCCGCGGUAAUACGUAGGUGGCAAGCGUUGUCCGGAAUUAUUGGGCGUAAAGGGCUCGCAGGCGGUUUCUUAAGUCUGAUGUGAAAGCCCCCGGCUCAACCGGGGAGGGUCAUUGGAAACUGGGGAACUUGAGUGCAGAAGAGGAGAGUGGAAUUCCACGUGUAGCGGUGAAAUGCGUAGAGAUGUGGAGGAACACCAGUGGCGAAGGCGACUCUCUGGUCUGUAACUGACGCUGAGGAGCGAAAGCGUGGGGAGCGAACAGGAUUAGAUACCCUGGUAGUCCACGCCGUAAACGAUGAGUGCUAAGUGUUAGGGGGUUUCCGCCCCUUAGUGCUGCAGCUAACGCAUUAAGCACUCCGCCUGGGGAGUACGGUCGCAAGACUGAAACUCAAAGGAAUUGACGGGGGCCGCACAAGCGGUGGAGCAUGUGGUUUAAUUCGAAGCAACGCGAAGAACCUUACCAGGUCUUGACAUCCUCUGACAAUCCUAGAGAUAGGACGUCCCCUUCGGGGGCAGAGUGACAGGUGGUGCAUGGUUGUCGUCAGCUCGUGUCGUGAGAUGUUGGGUUAAGUCCCGCAACGAGCGCAACCCUUGAUCUUAGUUGCCAGCAUUCAGUUGGGCACUCUAAGGUGACUGCCGGUGACAAACCGGAGGAAGGUGGGGAUGACGUCAAAUCAUCAUGCCCCUUAUGACCUGGGCUACACACGUGCUACAAUGGACAGAACAAAGGGCAGCGAAACCGCGAGGUUAAGCCAAUCCCACAAAUCUGUUCUCAGUUCGGAUCGCAGUCUGCAACUCGACUGCGUGAAGCUGGAAUCGCUAGUAAUCGCGGAUCAGCAUGCCGCGGUGAAUACGUUCCCGAGCCUUUGUACACACCGCCCGUCACACCACGAGAGUUUGUAACACCCGAAGUCGGUGAGGUAACCUUUUAGGAGCCAGCCGCCGAAGGUGGGACAGAUGAUUGGGGUGAAGUCGUAACAAGGUAGCCGUAUCGGAAGGUGCGGCUGGAUCACCUCCUUU